UCUUAAGAGUAAUGUAAGUCGCUCUAGAUAAGAGUGUCUGCUAAAUUACUGAAA
rfam:Salmo salar isolate Sally breed double haploid chromosome ssa03, whole genome shotgun sequence.